rnacentral:rRNA from 1 species
GACGAACGCUGGCGGCGUGCCUAAUACAUGCAAGUAGAACGCACAGUUUAUACCGUAGCUUGCUACACCAUAGACUGUGAGUUGCGAACGGGUGAGUAACGCGUAGGUAACCUGCCUGGUAGCGGGGGAUAACUAUUGGAAACGAUAGCUAAUACCGCAUAAUAUUAAUUAUUGCAUGAUAAUUAAUUGAAAGGUGCAAUUGCACCACUACCAGAUGGACCUGCGUUGUAUUAGCUAGUAGGUGAGGUAACGGCUCACCUAGGCGACGAUACAUAGCCGACCUGAGAGGGUGAUCGGACACACUUGGACUGAGACACGGCCCAGACUCCUACGGGAGGCAGCAGUAGGGAAUCUUCGGCAAUGGACGAAAGUCUGACCGAGCAACGCCGCGUGAGUGAAGAAGGUUUUCGGAUCGUAAAGCUCUGUUGUAAGAGAAGAACGGGUGUGAGAGUGGAAAGUUCACACUGUGACGGUAUCUUACCAGAAAGGGACGGCUAACUACGUG